UACGAAGGGGGCUAGCGUUGCUCGGAAUUACUGGGCGUAAAGGGUGCGUAGGCGGGUUUUUAAGUCAGGGGUGAAAUCCUGGAGCUCAACUCCAGAACUGCCUUUGAUACUGAAGAUCUUGAGUUCGGGAGAGGUGAGUGGAACUGCGAGUGUAGAGGUGAAAUUCGUAGAUAUUCGCAAGAACACCAGUGGCGAAGGCGGCUCACUGGCCCGAUACUGACGCUGAGGCACGAAAACGUGGGGAGCAAACAGG
rnacentral:rRNA from 1 species